rnacentral:ncRNA from 2 species
AGUCUGUUUCAGGGGGAGGUGCAAGUCCUCACCGGUGGUGAUAUGUAAAAUGCAUUAAGUCCACGAGCCGAAAGGCCGAUUUGGUUAGAAUCCAGAACCGACGGUAUAGUCCGGAUGGAAGAAAUGGCGU